AAUGUAGAGAUCACCCAUCUUCUGCAUCGAUCACACUGGGAACUGCAGACCAGAGCUGUUCCUAUUCGGCCAUCUUGAUCCUACUUCCGAAUGUGAGAUAUUUUUGUAGUGAUUGAAAUUGAGCAGUUAUUAUAGAACUAGUAAUGUCUUGAGUCUUUCAUUCCCUUCAAGUGUGUAACCAAAAAUUAUAAUAUUCUAGCAUGCAGCCUGAUUGUAAAGGAAUGGAAAAGUCCUAUCCAAAGGUUUCAUCCAUCUCUGAAUAUUUAUGAUGAGGGACACUUUGGUUUCAUAUGAGCCAAGGAGCCCCAGCCAUAAACAGAACUCCUGAGAACAACCUUGCAUUGGUCACAAGAAUAAUCUUAUGAUGUCAGGAUCAUGCCAGUUUUACACAUGAGGAGCAGUGGCACAGGAAGAUAAAGACCCCAUGAUGAGGAGUGGGGGUUGAUGGAGAGACAUAUUCAAGAGAUUUAUAUUCAAAGAAGCAACCAAGAUUCAGAAAGAUGGGGUUGAUAAUUGUUUACUUCACCCUGGGAGGCAGCAUAGUGCAGUGAAAGGUGAGGGCUCAUGCGUCAGAUAUACUUGGGUUUUGAAUAUCAGUCCUGUCUAUGCCAUGGUACCAAGCCUGUGUCUCACCUGUAAUGUGGACGUGACUCCUAUCUCAUGGGAUGUCUAUGCAGAUUGAUUGAUAUAAUAUGUAACAUUGAUAAAAUUGCCAGGUUGGUUGCCCCUUUUUCUUCCCCACAAGGUCAGGGAGAUGAGCCAUACUGAAGCAUUCAUGGAGAGCUGAGGUCAGGCGGAGGGACAUUGUAUCUGAUUUUCAACCCAAGUAGAAAUCUGUCUAGGGUCAAAAUUUAUAAUGAGUCACAUAGGCCAGAAGAAGUGGUUGCAGAGGCAACAACUGCACUAGGAACUUUGACUAUAAAAUGACUUAAAGAUUGACCAGUACAAGAAGAGUGGAAAAGAAAAUCAGAGUGUGAGGCCAGGUGUGGUGACUCACGCCUAAAAUCCCAGCACUU